UACGUAGGGGGCAAGCGUUGUCCGGAAUCAUUGGGCGUAAAGCGCGUGUAGGCGGUCCGGUAAGUCGGCUGUGAAAGUCCAGGGCUCAACCCUGGGAUGCCGGUCGAUACUGCCGGACUAGAGUUCGGAAGAGGCGAGUGGAAUUCCCGGUGUAGCGGUGAAAUGCGCAGAUAUCGGAAGGAACACCAAUGGCGAAGGCAGCUCGCUGGGACGUUACUGACGCUGAGGAGCGAAAGCGUGGGGAGCGAACAGG
rnacentral:rRNA from 1 species